AUUGAACGCUGGCGGCAUGCCUUACACAUGCAAGUCGAACGGUAACGCGGGGCAACCUGGCGACGAGUGGCGAACGGGUGAGUAAUACAUCGGAACGUGCCCAGUAAUGGGGGAUAGCCCGGCGAAAGCCGGAUUAAUACCGCAUACGACCUAAGGGUGAAAGAGGGGGAUCGCAAGACCUCUCGUUAUUGGAGCGGCCGAUGGCAGAUUAGCUAGUUGGUGGGGUAAAAGCCUACCAAGGCGACGAUCUGUAGCUGGUCUGAGAGGACGACCAGCCACACUGGGACUGAGACACGGCCCAGACUCCUACGGGAGGCAGCAGUGGGGAAUUUUGGACAAUGGACGCAAGUCUGAUCCAGCAAUGCCGCGUGCGGGAAGAAGGCCUUCGGGUUGUAAACCGCUUUUGUCAGGGAAGAAAUCUUCUGGGUUAAUACCUCGGGAGGAUGACGGUACCUGAAGAAUAAGCACCGGCUAACUACGUG
rnacentral:rRNA from 1 species